rnacentral:rRNA from 1 species
UACGUAGGGUGCGAGCGUUAAUCGGAAUUACUGGGCGUAAAGCGUGCGUAGGCGGUUCGUUAAGUCAGCUGUGAAAGCCCCGGGCUCAACCUGGGAAUUGCGGUUGAAACUGGCGAACUAGAAUCUGGCAGAGGGGGGUGGAAUUCCACGUGUAGCAGUGAAAUGCGUAGAUAUGUGGAGGAACACCGAUGGCGAAGGCAGCCCCCUGGGUUAACACUGACGCUCAUGCACGAAAGCGUGGGGAGCAAACAGG